AUUGAACGCUGGCGGCAGGCUUAACACAUGCAAGUCGAGCGGAGAUGAGGUGCUUGCACCUUAUCUUAGCGGCGGACGGGUGAGUAAUGCUUAGGAAUCUGCCUAUUAGUGGGGGACAACAUUCCGAAAGGAAUGCUAAUACCGCAUACGCCCUACGGGGGAAAGCAGGGGAUCUUCGGACCUUGCGCUAAUAGAUGAGCCUAAGUCGGAUUAGCUAGUUGGUGGGGUAAAGGCCUACCAAGGCGACGAUCUGUAGCGGGUCUGAGAGGAUGAUCGGCCACACUGGGACUGAGACACGGCCCAGACUCCUACGGGAGGCAGCAGUGGGGAAUAUUGGACAAUGGGCGGAAGCCUGAUCCAGCCAUGCCGCGUGUGUGACGAAGGCCUUUUGGUUGUAAAGCACUUUAAGCGAGGAGGAGGCUACCUGGAUUAAUACUCUAGGAUAGUGGACGUUACUCGCAGAAUAAGCACCGGCUAACUCUGUGCCAGCCGCCGCCGUAAUAC
rnacentral:rRNA from 1 species